AUAAAUGUGAGUUUUUACUUACAAAUAGUACUAUGCAAAUUAAUGAUUUUAUUUUUAUAAUAUUGGGAGGC
rnacentral:tRNA from 1 species